AGGACGAACGCUGGCGGCGUGCUUAACACAUGCAAGUCGAGCGGAAAGGCCCUUCGGGGUACUCGAGCGGCGAACGGGUGAGUAACACGUGAGUAAUCUGCCCCUAUGCUCUGGGAUAGCUCCGGGAAACCGGGAUUAAUACCAGAUACGACCACUUUAGACAUCUGUUGUGGUGGAAAGAAUUUUGGCUAGGGAUGAGCUCGCGGCCUAUCAGCUUGUUGGUGAGGUAACGGCUCACCAAGGCGACGACGGGUAGCCGGCCUGAGAGGGCGACCGGCCACACUGGGACUGAGACACGGCCCAGACUCCUACGGGAGGCAGCAGUGGGGGAAUAUUGCGCAAUGGGCGAAAGCCUGACGCAGCGACGCCGCGUGGGGGAUGAAGGCCUUCGGGUUGUAAACCCCUUUCAGCAGGGACGAAGCGAAAGUGACGGUACCUGCAGAAGAAGCGCCGGCUAACUACGUGCCAGCAGCCGC
rnacentral:rRNA from 1 species